UACGAAGGGGACUAGCGUUGUUCGGAAUUACUGGGCGUAAACCGCGCGUAGGCGGAUCGCUAAGUCAGGGGUGAAAUCCCAGGGCUCAACCCUGGAACUGCCUUUGAUACUGACGAUCUGGAGAUCGGGAGAGGUUGGUGGAAUUCCGAGUGUAGAGGUGAAAUUCGUAGAUAUUCGGAGGAACACCAGAAGCGAAGGCGGCCAACUGGCACGAUACUGACGGUGAGGCGCGAAAGCGUGGGGAGCAAACAGG
rnacentral:rRNA from 1 species